rnacentral:misc_RNA from 1 species
GAUGAAGAACGUAGCGAAAUGCGAUAAGUAAUGUGAAUUGCAGAAUUCAGUGAAUCAUCGAAUCUUUGAACGCACAUUGCGCCCGCCAGUAUUCUGGCGGGCAUGCCUGUUCGAGCGUCAUUUCAACCAUCAAGCCCCGGGCUUGUGUUGGGGACCUGCGGCUGCCGCAUGCCCUGAAAUGCAGUGGCGGGCUCGCUGUCACUCCGAGCGUAGUAGUUACAUCUCGCUCUGGGCGUGCUGCGGGUUCCGGCCGUUAAAAGCCUUAUUUACCCAAGGUUGACCUCGGAUCAGGUAGGAAGACCCGCUGAACUUAAGCAUAUCAAUAAGCGGAGGA